ensembl:snoRNA
AUGCCCUUUUAAGGUUGAUGUGGUGCUUUAAGAAGCUAACAUAGAAGGAUAAAGUAAGUCUCUACAAAACCCAGAGAAGAGACUGGAAAACUCCUCUCUGGAUCCUGCCUGGAGUCACAGCU